CAUUAGAUACAAAAUCAUAUGUAUCAUGUCAUUCAAAACAUAUUUGAUUCGUAACAAAUGGAGCAUAGAGUAAUUGGAGCAUAUCAAUAGCGUACGAGAUGUUCCGGAGCAUAUCAAUGGCAAAUGGUACAUUUCGAAGCAUAUCAAUAACAAAUGAAACAUAUCGGAGCUUAUCAAUGGCAUAUGAAUUGUUCCGGAGCAUAUCAAUGGCGUAUGGAACAUUUCGAAGCAUAUCAAUAACAAAUGAAAUGUUUCGGAGCUUAUCAAUGGCAUAUGAAAUGUUCCGGAGCAUAUCAAUGGCAUAUGGAACAUUUCGAAGCAUAUCAAUAGUGAAUGAAACUUUUCAGAGCAUAUCAAUAACAAAUACCAUACAGAAGCUCAAACGUCGUCUUUGACGUUGCAAUCAUAUCAUUCUUAUCCAAAGCAUGUACAUAAACACAUAACCAAAGCUCUGGAUAUCAUAUCAAACAUAUAGAAGGUGUAGUGGGAUCUCAAACAAAAUUGUGAUUCAUCCAUUUCUGAAUGACCACCAGACAGAAGUCUCCCACGUCUGGGAGCUCCAUCCACCCACGUCUAUAUAAAGUCAGAGGGGGCCGGCAGAGCAUCGCAGGCUCUAAGCACAUACCCUUUACCAUUUCUGGCAAAGGUCCAGACAAUCCCACAAACACCAGAGUACAAGAGGGCAGUUUUAUCAAUAAGUAGCAUAUAUCGGAAGCACACGCGGAAACAACAAAACGUACAUGUGCCUUUUCGAGACAAUACGAUGCAAGCAAUAAUCUUUCACAAUGGUAUUCGGAUUUUGAAAGAAAAUGGAAUAGGCACAUAUCGAAAGCAAAUGCAGAACAAUGGGAUACACAUGUGCCUAAAUGAGUCAAUACGAUAUAGCAUAAACGUUACACAAUAGUUUUCAAGAAUGCAAAUAACUUUAAGGACAAGAGCAUAUAAGAAUUCAAAGUAGUAAUAAAAAGCUCAAUUGAAUAAGAAAGCUAAAGGAUAUCAAUUUCCAAAGGAAUGAAACCAGAAUAUUAGAAAUCGACCAAAGCUCGAUUUCUGGCAGAAUACAAGAGGCACAUUGAACAAAUGAUUCAAACUAUCAAUCGUGCUCCAAUUUACUCAGAAAUAUAUCAUUGGAUUAUACUUUCAGAUAAGACUGGCUUCAUAUGAAUUGAACUGUCUAAUAGAGAGAGUUACAAAUAAUUUGGUAAACAAGGGUCGUAGAACAAAAUCUCUGUUUGGCAGAAUUCAUAAUAUCAGAUUCAACAGAUAACUGGGCAGGUGUUUGGAUUCCAAAUCUUUCAAUCCAUAUAUCAAAAGAAAGAUCUAUGAGUCUAGUUUCCAAUGAAAUAAGCUUUGAAUAAAUCAAUGUUUGCAACAGGGACUUAUAAGCAGUUCAGUAUCAAAAGGUCAGAAAUUACGAUCCCUGUUUUGCAGAAUCUGUAGGCUCAUUUGAAACAGAAGUUUGGGCAGACAAACUUACUCCGAAUUCUUAAAAUAAGCUAUCAAACAAAGGUUUAUGAGUCUAUAUUCUGAUCAAAUAAGAUUUGUCCAAAUCAGAUGUCAAUACAUGAAGUUAUAAUCAUAACAAGGUAGAAAGGUCAGAAUCUUGGAAGUUGCACAGAUUCGAAUCGUUACGCCUAAACAGGAGAUAUAUCAAGUGCAAGGCUAGAACAAUUCAAAGUUUCUCAUAUUCAAAGCAAAUGUAGAGAUAAAAUUGCAGUGAGGAAAGAUCAGGAUACUUGCAAUAGGUAAGAUUAGAACAAUUACAAGAGAAACGAUCAGGAAACUUGC
rnacentral:lncRNA from 1 species